GAUGGAGAACUUAGCGAAAUGCGAUAAGUAGUGUGAAUUGCAGAAUUCAGUGAAUCAUCGAAUCUUUGAACGCACAUUGCGGCCAUAGGUAUUCCUUUGGCCAUGCCUGUUCGAGCGUCAUUUACACCCUCAAGCCUAGCUUGGUGUUGGGCGCCUGUCCCGCCGUUUUCGCGCGCGGACUCGCCUCAAAGUCAUUGGCGGCGGUCGUGCCGGCCCCCUCGCGCAGCACAUUUGCGCUUCUCGGAGGCCCGGCGGAUCCGCGCUCCAGCAAGACCUUUCACGACUUGACCUCGGAUCAGGUAGGGAUACCCGCUGAACUUAAGCAUAUCAAUAAGCGGAGGA
rnacentral:misc_RNA from 1 species